rnacentral:lncRNA from 1 species
UGAGAAUAAUACAGUGGUUCAGAUUCCAAAGUGGAAGAAGAAGAGCCAGAAAAGGCUGGAAGGUGACACAGAUAGUCUUUAAGAUAGGAUGGAGGAUGAUGAGUUCUGGUAGAUUUUCUGAGGAUAGGAGCAGAAGAGGAAGGGGGCAGAAUAGGAGGAGAAGGUGGAGUGAUAGAUAAAGGAGAAUCAGAAAGGACAUCAUUUUCUCUAGAAGGUAAGGAAGAAGCAGUAGGUAUGGGAGAAUCAGAAAUAACAUCAUCUUCUCCAGAAGGAAUAUAANNNN